CUCACUUUAAGCCAGCUCCCACGUCACACGUCUUCUCACGGGGUCGGCUGUACCUGGCUCCUUCCGAUUGGCGGAAGUGAGCCCCUAGCCCUUCCUGAUUGGAAGCUGCCGCUAGAAGUGCGCCGUCUUUUUCGUCGUGGAGUUUGGUUGAACCUGAAGCGCGGGGGAGAAUUGGGGAAACUGGAAUUUCCCGCGGAGCUGACGGCGUUUGCUCUCUACCUACUCAUUUUAAUUCCACGCGCUCCAAAAUAUCCGCCAUGGAGAAAUCUUGUUGCUGUACCUUCCAGUGAUGGUUCAGUGAUGGAUCAGGAGAGUGAGCCGGCCUUAUGGGAGGUCAGGAUGUCCAUUCUAGGUCCACUUGUGUGGUCCUGCUGAAGCUUGGGUCAGGCAUCCAAAGGGGCAGUGAGAAGGGGGGGUGUGACGCAGGUCUAAUCUGCUGCCGUCAUCACCAUCAUCAUCAUGAACUUCGAGAGUCUGGACCCUGGCCUGGCAGAGUAUACCCCGUCCAUGCAUUCCGCCCUGGAUCCUGUCCUGGAUGCCCACCUGAACCCAAGUCUGCUGCAGAAUGUGGAGCUAGACCCAGAGGGAGUGGCUUUAGAGGCUCUUCCAGUCCAGGAGUCAGUGCACAUAAUGGAAGGUGUCUACUCUGAGUUGCACAGUGUGGUGGCUGAAGUGGGCGUGCCUGUCUCCGUCUCCCACUUUGACUUGCACGAGGAGAUGCUGUGGGUGGGAAGCCAUGGGGGCCAUGCUACAUCAUUUUUUGGUCCAGCUUUGGAGCGCUACUCCUCCUUUCAGGUCAAUGGCAGUGAUGACAUUCGGCAGAUCCAGAGCCUGGAGAAUGGCAUCCUUUUUCUGACCAAAAACAAUCUCAAAUAUAUGGCCCGUGGGGGCCUCAUUAUAUUUGAUUACUUGUUGGAUGAGAGUGAGGAUAUGCACAGCCUCCUACUGACUGAAAGCAGCACUCUGCUUGUUGGUGGGCUGCAGAACCACAUAUUGGAAAUUGACCUUAACACUGUCCAGGAGACUCAGAAGUAUGCAGUUGAGACACCUGGAGUCACUAUCAUGAGACAGACAAAUCGCUUCUUCUUCUGUGGCCACACAUCUGGCAAGGUGGCCAAGUUUCAUUUUUCUUCCCACCAAGAGGCUCGGAUAUGUGAUUGGGCUCUGCCUUUCCCUCAAUUCUGGGGCUGUUUUUGGAGGGGUGGGAAGAAUGAAUUGAGUUCCUACUCUGCCAUGACACUAUGAAAUUAUCUUUCAGCCUGAUGUUUUCUGUGGUAAAUGGGUACCUUAGAGGCAAAAGGUAAAGAAAAUUUCUCAUGGCGCUCCCUUCCAGCUCUUGGCUUCUUUUUCUGCCUUUUUUUGUGCCUUAACUGCCUGUAUCCUAGCACCUUUGUUCUUUUUGUAGGGGCCUCCCAUGGUUAGGUAGAUGGCAGGUCCUCUUCCUGAUAGUAACAUUGGCAGAUAACUAAGAUCUCUCUCCUUCAGGUUUCCCUGCGAGACCUCCGCACUUUCAAGGUGGAGCACGUGUUUGAUGCCUUCUCAGGGAGUCUGUCGGAUUUUGAUGUGCAUGGCAACCUGUUAGCUGCCUGUGGCUUCUCCAGCCGCCUCACUGGCCUGGCCUGUGACCGUUUCCUCAAGGUGUAUGAUCUUCGAAUGAUGCGUGCCAUCACACCACUUCAAGUACACGUGGAUCCUGCCUUCUUACGCUUUAUCCCUACGUAUACUUCUCGUCUUGCUAUCAUCUCCCAGUCAGGUAUGAAGCGUUGUAGGUAGGAGCGGUCGAUGAGUGAAGGGGAACUAGGUGCCAGAAGGAGUGUAUUUCCUUAGAAUUUCUUUUUUGGGGAGAAAGUAGGUGUCACAGGGUCUUACUUAGGAUUGCUCAGAGAUUAGAGCUUUUACUUUCUCCCUGUGUGUGAAGAACACACACAAAAAAUAAAGGUGGAGCAAGCGAAACAACUUCAAAACUGUCCUUUGCUGGGUAGCAGACCUCUGUGUGGUUUAUAGGAAGUCAUCAGAUGGUAUUUUCUCUUAUCUCUAGGCAUGGAUUUGGAGCCCACCUUUCCUUGAUACCAGGGCAAGAGGGUAGGAAGAGCAUAAAAGGAUGGCUCCCUUUCACCUUCCAGGGCUCAAUGGGCUUCCUUCUCCCUCCUAGGGCAAUGCCAGUUUUGUGAGCCCACAGGCCUGGCCAACCCAGCAGACAUCUUUCAUGUGAAUCCUGUGGGGCCUCUGCUAAUGACGUUUGAUGUGUCAGCCAGCAAGCAGGCCCUUGCCUUUGGGGAUUCUGAGGGCUGUGUGCACCUCUGGACUGAUUCUCCUGAGCCUUCUUUCAACCCCUACUCCCGUGAGACUGAAUUUGCUUUGCCCUGUCUUGUGGACUCACUGCCUCCUCUGGACUGGAGCCAGGACCUGCUGCCUCUUUCCCUCAUCCCUGUCCCGCUCACCACUGACACGCUUCUCUCUGAUUGGCCUGCCGCCAACUCCGCUCCAGCUCCCAGGUCGUACCUCACAUCUGAACCCAAAGGAGGGAGGGGGGGAGGGCCAAGAUAUGGAAAUUCUCUGUGAGCCCUGUUAUUACUCAACCUCUUUCCUGAUUUUUGUCUACUUCCAGUAUUUUCUUUUUGUUUCUGGCCCCUUGGGAUUGGGGGUUGGAUGGGCAACUCAUGCCCUAGAACUGUUUUGCAUUAUAGGCGAGCACCCCCUGUGGAUGCAGAGAUUCUGCGCACCAUGAAGAAGGUGGGCUUCAUUGGCUAUGCGCCCAACCCUCGCACAAGGCUACGCAAUCAGAUUCCAUACCGACUCAAGGAGUCUGACAGUGAAUUUGACAGCUUCAGCCAGGUCACUGAGUCACCGAUAGGGCGAGAAGAGGAGCCACAUCUCCACAUGGUCUCUAAGAAAUACCGCAAGGUGACCAUCAAAUACUCCAAGCUAGGGCUGGAGGACUUUGACUUCAAACACUACAAUAAGACGCUGUUUGCCGGAUUAGAGCCCCACAUCCCCAAUGCCUACUGUAACUGCAUGAUCCAGGUGCUCUAUUUCUUGGAGCCUGUUCGCUGUGUAAUCCAGAACCACCUUUGCCAGAAGGAGUUCUGCCUGGCAUGUGAGCUGGGCUUCCUCUUUCACAUGUUGGACCUCUCCCGAGGUGACCCUUGUCAGGGCAGUAAUUUUCUCCGGGCGUUCCGCACCAUUCCUGAGGCUUCAGCCCUUGGUCUGAUUUUGGCUGACUCGGAUGAGGCUUCAGGCAAGGGCAACCUGGCCAGGCUCAUUCAGAGGUGGAAUCGCUUCAUUCUCACUCAGCUGCAUCAAGAUUUGCAGGAGCUGGAAGUACCCCAGGCUUAUCGAGGUGCUGGAGGCAGCUUUUGCUCAUCGGGGGACUCUGUCAUUGGGCAGCUGUUCAGCUGUGAGAUGGAAAACUGCAGCCUCUGCCGCUGUGGCAGUGAGACCGUGCGAGCCUCAUCCACCCUGCUCUUCACGCUCUCCUACCCUGAGGGUAGCAACAGUGGUAUACCCUGCAGCUGGGCUGGGGAGGCUCCCCCAAAUGUCCUGUAACAUCAAGGGGAGGGUUGGGGGACUAACGGUAGAUUCAGGGAGAACCUGAAAUGAAGCAUCCAGUUUCCCCUCAGAUAAAACCGGGAAGAACUGUGACUUUGCUCAGGUGCUGAAGCGAAGCAUCUGUCUGGAGCAGAAUACACAGGCCUGGUGUGACAACUGUGAAAAGUACCAGCCCACGAUUCAGACCCGCAACAUCCGCCACCUGCCAGAUAUUCUUGUCAUCAAUUGUGAGGUGAACAGCUUAAAAGAAGCUGAUUUCUGGAGAAUGCAGGCUGAGGUUGCCUUCAAGAUGGCAAUAAAGAAGCAUGGUGGGGAAAUCUCCAAGAACAAGGAGUUUGCUUUGGCUGAUUGGAACGAACUAGGGAGUCCAGAGGGCAUGCGGAUGUGUCCCUCCAUUGAGGAGCUGAAGAAUGUCUGGCUUCCUUUCUCCAUUCGAAUGAAGAUGACCAAGAACAAAGGGCUGGAUGUUUGCAAUUGGACUGAUGGGGAUGAGAUGCAGGUUGUUGAAUAACUGGGAAGAAGAGGGGGAAUAAGGGACAGAAGGUCGGGGCAGAAGCAGGGUAAGGGGAAGGUGGAACUUAGUAUAGGGGAAAAAAGGGAGUAAGGCCUAGUAUUCACCAGUCAUGGGCUUUUCCAGAGUGACUCAGUUCAGUGUUGGGAGCCACAGAUGGGCUAGGAUGGAAAGAACCCACCCUGGUCCCCUGUCCCCAUAUCCCAGACUCCCUGUCCUCUAUCCCCAUUCCCCUUCCUUUCCCAUCCUUAAACUUAAACUUAGCUUAGCAGCCUGGGUACCCCCCUCACAGUGGGGCCCAGCCAGGGCAGAGGAGGAGCAUGGUGUCUAUGUGUAUGACCUGAUGGCUACUGUGGUACACAUCCUGGACUCACGCACAGGGGGCAGCCUGGUGGCUCACAUCAAAGUUGGAGAGACCUACCACCAGCGCAAGGAGGGCGUUACCCACCAGCAGUGGUAUCUCUUCAAUGACUUUCUCAUUGAACCUAUUGAUAAGCAUGAAGCUGUGCAGUUUGACAUGAAUUGGAAAGUGCCUGCUAUCCUUUAUUACAUCAAAAGGAAUCUUAAUUCCAAAUACAACCUGAACAUCAAGAACCCUAUUGAGGCAAACGUUCUGCUGGCUGAAGCCUCACUAGCACGGAAGCAGCGGAAAACACAUACUACCUUUAUUCCAUUGAUGCUUAAUGAGAUGCCACAGGUUGGGGACCUGGUGGGCCUGGAUGCUGAGUUUGUCACCCUUAAUGAGGAGGAAGCGGAGCUGCGCAGCGAUGGCACCAAGUCAACCAUCAAGCCAAGCCAGAUGUCAGUAGCAAGGAUUACGUGUGUUAGGGGCCAGGGGCCCAAUGAGGGUAUCCCCUUCAUUGAUGACUACAUCUCUACCCAGGAGCAGGUAUUAGGAUGUGGAGAUGCAAGUGAGAUAGACCCUAUGCCAACGCAGAACACAGGGAAGAGCGUGGGGGGAUCUGUGCACCUCACUUCCUGGACCUUUUCACCUUUUCUCCAUCCUUAGGUGGUGGAUUACUUGACUCAGUACUCGGGGAUAAAGCCAGGAGACCUGGAUGCCAAGAUUUCCUCUAAGCACCUCACAACUCUAAAGUCUACUUACUUAAAGCUUCGUUUUCUCAUAGACAUUGGCGUCAAGUUUGUGGGUCAUGGUCUGCAGAAGGACUUCCGUGUCAUCAACCUCAUGGUUUGGGCAGGGCUCUUUUCAGAGUCUUCUUUGUGUGGGGGCUCCCAUAUACCUGAUGCUUUUGGAAAAUGGGAAAUUAUGGAUCCCCUACCUUCAGUCUUCUACUCUUUUAUCCCUGGCAGGUGCCCAAGGACCAGGUCCUUGACACUGUUUAUCUAUUUCACAUGCCCCGAAAACGAAUGAUUUCCCUGCGAUUCCUUGCUUGGUACUUUCUAGAUCUGAAGAUUCAAGGGGAGACCCAUGACAGUAUUGAGGAUGCCCGCACAGCCCUUCAGCUUUACCGAAAAUAUCUGGAGCUAAGCAAAAAUGGCACUGAGCCUGAGUCCUUCCACAAAGUGCUGAAGGGCCUUUAUGAGAAAGGCCGAAAGAUGGACUGGAAGGUGCCUGAGCCUGAGGGCCAGACAAGUCCCAAGAAUGCAGCUGUCUUCUCUUCAGUGCUGGCGCUCUGACCUCACCCUUUCCCAGUGAACAGUUCUCUCUCCCUUCAAUGUUCUGUGGCCCCAGAACUGGGAGAUGGCUUCCCAAGUUGGCUAUACCCUACUUCCAGAAUUGGACCUGCUCAGGGUCUACAGAUGGUGCUAUUAUUAAUAGAACUGGAAUGCAGGAGAAUUGUUGCAAAGGGUCUAGGAGCCAGAUUGCUUUUUCAUCCUUUGCAAAAUAGUGGGCCAGCAACAGUCUAGGAUUGACCCAGAUGAAAAGUAAUUAGUAUUCUUAAUAAAUACAUGGGUAAUAAAUAUCCUAGGCAAAGAAGCUCCUGGAACCAAAACUCUCAGUUCCUAGUCCCAGACAAUGAUAGGAUACAACAGUAGUAGCUCAAGACCUAACUCAGGUCUCUGCUUCAGGGUUGCCUGGAGGGGCCAGCAUUUAGUCUGGUGGCCCCAGCAAACUAGUGUUGCCAACAUCACCAUUGCCAAAAGGGCCUUUGGGUCCUAGACAAAGCUUGGCUGCUGGCUUCACUUCUGCCGACAGCUGAGAAGCAUCUGUCUUCCAUCCACUCUCCCAUCCCAAGUUUUGUUUUCUUGUUAUUUUUUAAAAUUUUGUUUUAAACUGCAUGUUUUAUAAAAUAAAAACGAAAAAUAUUGGGUGUCAUCUAUUUCAUUAG